UAUGAAUUUUACAUUAUCCACUGCAUCUUU
rnacentral:piRNA from 1 species